rnacentral:rRNA from 1 species
AUUGAACGCUGGCGGCAGGCCUAACACAUGCAAGUCGAGCGAGUGGCGGACGGGUGAGUAAUGUCUGGGAAACUGCCUGAUGGCGGGGGAUAACUACUGGAAACGGUAGCUAAUACCGCAUACCAUCAGAUGAACCCAUAUGGGAUUAGCUCGUAGGUGGGGUAACGGCUCACCUAGGCGACGAUCCCUAGCUGGUCUGAGAGGAUGAACAGCCACACUGGAACUGAGACACGGCCCAGACUCCUACGGGAGGCAGCAGUGGGGAAUAUUGCACAAUGGGCGCAAGCCGGAUGCAGCCAUGCCGCGUGUAUGAAGAAGGCCUUCGGGUUGUAAAGUACUUUCAGCGGGGAGGCGUUACCGACAGAAGAAGCACCGGCUAACUCCGUGCCAGCCGCCGCGGUAAUAC